ensembl:misc_RNA Metazoa_SRP Metazoan signal recognition particle RNA
GCUGGGUGUGGUGGUGCGCACCUGUAAUCCCAGCUACUUGGGAGGCUGAGGCAGGAGAAUCACUUGAACCCGGGAGGUGAAGGUUUCAGUGAGCCGAGACAGUGCCACUGCACUCCAGCCUGGGGGACAGAGUGAUACUUUGCCUCAG